AUUGAAUGCUGGCGGCAUGCUUUACACAUGCAAGUCGAACGGUAACAGGUUAAGCUGACGAGUGGCGAACGGGUGAGUAAUGCAUCGGAACGUGCCCGGUCGUGGGGGAUAACGCAGCGAAAGCUGCGCUAAUACCGCAUACGAUCUGAGGAUGAAAGCGGGGGACCGUAAGGCCUCGCGCGAUCGGAGCGGCCGAUGUCAGAUUAGGUAGUUGGUGGGGUAAAGGCUCACCAAGCCGACGAUCUGUAGCUGGUCUGAGAGGACGACCAGCCACACUGGGACUGAGACACGGCCCAG
rnacentral:rRNA from 1 species